GCUAGAUGUGGUAAUUGCAUAUCUGUAGUCCCAGUUACAGGGAAGGCUGAGGCAGGAGGAUUGCUUGAGGCCAAGAAUUUGGGGUCAGCCUGAGCAACAUAGCAAGACUCCAUUUCUU
rnacentral:sRNA from 1 species